GUAGUUGAACCUUGGGCCUGGCUGGCCGGUCCGCCUCACCGCGUGCACUGGUCCGGCCGGGCCUUUCCCUCUGUGGAACCCCAUGCUCUUCACUGAGUGUGGCGGUGAAACAGGACUUUUACUUUGAAAAAAUUAGAGUGCUCCAGGCAGGCCUAUGCUCGAAUACAUUAGCAUGGAAUAAUAAAAUAGGACGCGUGGUUCUAUUUUGUUGGUUUCUAGGACCGCCGUAAUGAUUAAUAGGGACAGUCGGGGGCAUCAGUAUUCAAUUGUCAGAGGUGAAAUUCUUGGAUUUAUUGAAGACUAACUACUGCGAAAGCAUUUGCCAAGGAUGUUUUCAUUAAUCAGGAACGAAAGUUAGGGGAUCGAAGACGAUCAGAUACC
rnacentral:rRNA from 1 species